rnacentral:piRNA from 1 species
UCCAUUGGCUCUUGUUUUGUCCUCGGU